UAAACGACUCUCGGCAACGGACAUCUCGGCUCACGCAUCGAUGAAGAACGUAGCAAAAAGCGAUACUUGGUGUGAAUUGCAGAAUCCCGUGAACCAUCGAGUUUUUGAACGCAAGUUGCGCCCGAAGCCUUUUGGCCGAGGGCACGUCUGCCUGGGCGUCACAC
rnacentral:rRNA from 1 species